rnacentral:rRNA from 1 species
GACGAACGCUGGCGGCGUGCUUAACACAUGCAAGUCGAACGGAGUGGCGAACGGGUGAGUAACACGUGGGUGACCUGCCCUGCACUUCGGGAUAAGCCUGGGAAACUGGGUCUAAUACCGGCUAGUGUGGGAUGGGCGCGCGGCCUAUCAGCUGGUUGGUGGGGUAAUGGCCUACCAAGGCGGCGACGGGUAGCCGGCCUGAGAGGGUGGACGGCCACAUGGGGACUGAGACAGGGCCCAGACUCCAACGGGGGGCAGCGGUGGGGAAUAUUGCACAAUGGGCGGAAGCGUGAUGCAGCAACGCCGCGUGCGGGAUGACGGCCUUGGGGUUGUAAACCGCUUUCAGCCAUGACGCGGUAGUGGCAGAAGAAGCACCGGCUAACUACGUGCCAGCAGCCGCGGUAAUUC